GGGAGUUUGAAGCCCUGACACUUGAUCAAUCACGCCCUACACCUAAGUCAACUCACAGGUAUGGCCAUUUUAUGUUGGUACUUCUCUUAAUUUGAAUGACGGGUGCUUGUUCCCAUGGAUUUCUGUGCGAGUGUAAUCUACAAAGCUUGAUGCGCUUCCAAGGUUUAGAAAAAUCUAUCUUGGAACUCUUGAGUAAUUUUUAUUGCUAACACACGCAUAAGUUUUGCAAAUUGUCUACAUCUACAUUGACAUGUGUGGAGCUCCUUAGAAACAUGGCUUAAUAUAUUGAUUUAUUUUUCUUUUUAAAAUCUCCAGGUUUAUCUUGUUUCUUGUUAGCACUUACAAGUUAUAAAUUUGCAAAUGUAGCAUACGACACGUAUAAAUUAAUCAAGUGUUAUACAUGAAUGGAAUAAUGGAGAAAUUAGCAACCGGUCAAUAUGUAAUUAGUGUGUUGUGAGCCUGUGGCGCCACAAUGUGUAGGCGUUAUGGAUUGACAUUUUAAUUCUAGAUAAUAUUUCUAGGGGAUUUGCAUCAACUGCUAUUACAUUCAGCAAAUUAAAUUUAAGCCCAUAAAGCACAAAAUAUUGAUCUAGUUGUAACUCGUAACACCACUGGCACAUGACUGGCCAUGAGGGUUGUUGUUGUUCCUUUAGGUAACCAAGGUCUUUUUCUUUUCUUUAGAGAGAUGGAUUCACCCACUCAAUACUUGCAGGCAAGCUGGAACUGCAACCCAUGUUCGGCAAAGUGUUCUAUAUUCAGGCCGCCUCAGGAGGCCCCAUGGUAGACGAGAACAAGAACCAUCACCGAAUGAGCUACCGUAAAUUUUCUUAGUUAUUUCUGAUAUUGUCUGUGUGCCUUUUUGCAUGAGAAUUUGAUAAAGGAUCCGUUUUGGUUAUUAUCUGUACUCUCAUAGAAUAAAAAGUUUUUAUUGCUAGUUUCUUUUUAAAAAGCUAGCAAUUCUUUCCCUUACUUCCAUAGUCACCGACCAACAUGUUUUCAUCAGGGUUGAGAAGAAUGCUAGCAAGGUGAGCAGCAGUGAGGGAUC
rnacentral:lncRNA from 1 species